rnacentral:lncRNA from 1 species
GGGUGUCAAGCAUUGCUGGAAAUGAAUCCCGAUGAGACAAUACAGCUUUCAUUGAAGGAUGGCGUCAAGAACGGUCCUGCUGGAGCUGCUAAAGAUGCGAACUAUGGAGGGGUCUAUGUUGGCCUGCCGUCAGAUGCUGUCACAAUGGUGUCCAGUCAAACAAAGAGUGCACGAAAAGAUUAGAAGAAAAUUAUAUCCUGAUGUAAUAAACAAGAGGUAUGACAUCUUUGUGAAAUAUUUGUGCAUGUCUCACAUUUAUGAUGACCUAAGUUCUGAUAUUCACCACAUAAACAUGCUUUUCAUUGGGGAUCAGUGGGUAUAUAGCAGAAGUAACACUGUACCUCAGAUAAAGUGGUGGACUUGGAGCCAGGAGCACCUGUAUCCAGAACUUGUGUUUUUGAUACUUACUAGCUGUGUGACCUUGAGGAAACCACAUAAUCUUUAUGAAGCUCAGUUCCCUCAUCUGUAA